rnacentral:rRNA from 1 species
UACGUAGGGGGCAAGCGUUGUCCGGAUUUACUGGGCGUAAAGCGCGUGUAGGCGGUCCGUUUAGUCUGCUGUGAAAGCUCCUCGCUUAACGGGGAGAGGUCGGUGAUACUGGCGGACUUGAGGACGGUAGAGGGGGGGUGGAAUUCCCGGUGUAGUGGUGAAAUGCGUAGAGAUCGGGAGGAACACCAGCGGCGAAGGCGGCCCCCCCUGGGCCGCUCCUGACGCUGAGACGCGAAGGCCAGGGUAGCGAACGGG